rnacentral:rRNA from 1 species
UACGUAGGGCGCAAGCGUUGUCCGGAAUUAUUGGGCGUAAAGAGCUCGUAGGCGGCUUGUCACGUCGAUUGUGAAAGCCCGAGGCUUAACCUCGGGUCUGCAGUCGAUACGGGCUAGCUAGAGUGUGGUAGGGGAGAUCGGAAUUCCUGGUGUAGCGGUGAAAUGCGCAGAUAUCGGGAGGAACACCAGUGGCGAAGGCGGCUUUCUGGGCCUUACCUGACGCUGAGACGCGAAAGCGUGGGGAGCGAACCGG